GUGGGGAAUCUUGCGCAAUGGGCGAAAGCCUGACGCAGCCAUGCCGCGUGAAUGAUGAAGGUCUUAGGAUUGUAAAAUUCUUUCACCGGGGACGAUAAUGACGGUACCCGGAGAAGAAGCCCCGGCUAACUUCGUGCCAGCAGCCGCGGUAAUACGAAGGGGGCUAGCGUUGCUCGGAAUUACUGGGCGUAAAGGGCGCGUAGGCGGACAGUUUAGUCAGAGGUGAAAGCCCAGGGCUCAACCUUGGAAUUGCCUUUGAUACUGGCUGUCUUGAGUACGGGAGAGGUGAGUGGAUCUCCGAGUGUAGAGGUGAAAUUCGUAGAUAUUCGGAAGAACACCAGUGGCGAAGGCGACUCACUGGCCCGUUACUGACGCUGAGGCGCGAAAGCGUGGGGAGCAAACAGGAUUAGAAACCCCUGUAGUCC
rnacentral:rRNA from 1 species